GGAGGGGGCUUCUGCACUAGGUGCUGAGGUGUUGGCAGGAAGGAGAGUUCUAGGCUGGAAGGACUUCCCCUAGAGAACAAGGUCAGGAAAGCUCACCAUCCUUCUACAAAGCCUGUGGGCACCCAAGUGUGUCCUGCACCGGGAAGGAGACCUGUGCUCCCGACAUCGUGAGUGGGAGUGGAGGCAAAGUCCUGAGCUCCAGGCUGGGAAGCCACGAAGACGAAAAGCGAGGGAGCAAUCCCUCCGGGAGAGUGGGGUCCCUUUCACGCCCCUCUCCACUUUUUCUGCCAAGCCAUCACUUCCCAUUCUCCGGUCUAGGCUGUGUUGGUGUAGUCAUUCCGUUGUCUUAUCCCCAAGUGUGCCAGAGACCCUCCUAGCAGAAAACCUUAGUCUUCAGCAAGAGUGCCGACGUCUCAGUGGUACCUGGAGAGGAGAUGUCUUGCAGGAAGAACUGGAAGGAGCCAGACAGCGAGGAUGGAAGCCCCAGGGUGGAGUCUAUGGGGUGAGCUCAGGUCAAGCCGCUCACCCUAACGUGCCUCAGUGCUCUUCCAGCUGUUAACCAGGACUCCGGAUUCUUCCCAGGCUCUUAAUGAGUGUUUACCAAAGGGCUUGGAGAUCCUCAGAUCUCAGCUGGGCCACCACUACAGUUAGAACCCUCGGAAGAGCAGAGGGUUAUUUGGGGAGGGGAGGAACAGGGCAAGAGGGGAGCAGACGACUCCCAAGUCGCUGAGGAUGAAACCAGGCUCCCGGAGAAGCCCAGGCCCAGCUGCCACAGGAUAUCCUUGUACCCAGGAAUGGAGGUCACCCUCCCCCUCCACCUAACCACCACCGAAGCCUGGCCUCCAGCUAGCUAGCUGUAGGCAGAACCCAGCCGGGCAGCUGGCCUUCAUUAACUCCAGCUUUUUCGCCCCCCACUGUGAACCCACAGCUUCUACAGGCCUAGGCUACAGGGGGCUGCCCUAGCCUGACCUUGCAGCUGACACUGGGGUGGGGGGCACCGCAGCAAGGGCCAAGCUAACCAGCUGAAAAGAAAAGUCGAGCGAGACUCCUUUUUUUUUUUUCCCACUGGGAGCAAGCAGAGAGGAAAGGAGUGUGGGGGUGAGAGGGUGGAGGUGGGGGAAUUUAGGGCAAACAGCAAGCCGUGAAGUCAGCUGGACUGGGGCCCAGAAACCCCCACACCCUGAAGCCAAGUCUUACUCUAGCUUUGCUUCUCAGCUAGAGUCUUGGCGAGGCCCCAAAACUAGGGAAGGCCCUGGCUGCCCC